rnacentral:rRNA from 1 species
AUGCAUGGACACUUUGAGAAACUCUAUGAAUACCGGGCUACAUGGGUUCCAUGUUACUUCAAAUUUAGGUUAUUCCCUUUCCUUCAGUCGAUGCAACGCAGCGAAGGGUUCAAUGUUAUCUUGAAGUGCUAUGUGAACCCACACAAGUCAAUUCUCAACUUUGUGAAGCAAUACGAGAAGAUUCAGGUACACAUACUCGUGAGGGAGGGCGGGAACGACUACUGGACAAAGCAUCUAGACGCACAAAGAUGGUCGAGUUUCCCCAUUGAGAGGCAUACACUAGGGACAUCUAUGUGA